GAGGAUAUAGCUCAGUGGUAGAGCACAUGCUUAGCAUGCAUGAGGUCCUGGGUUCAAUCCCUAGUACCUCCA
rnacentral:tRNA from 1 species